GGCGGCCAAUGAGAGGCGCCGGCGCUGAGCGGCUGCUGGCGGCUGUUAGGAGCGUUAACGUUCGCUGGGGGAAGCCGAGGUCGCGCGGCGCGCAGGUAGCGGCGGGGGGGGAACGUGUCGGGUCCCCGGCGCUCUGUGCUGGUCAGUGCCACGGCCCGGCACCGGAUCCGGUUCUGGGCAGGGACGGGCGCCUACGGGAGCCGGCCGCGGCGUUGCAGGCAGUCGUGCGAGCGGCCUGCUCCUCCAGCGGGCCGGAGCAGUGCAGAAAGUUUUUGACAGCCUUCUCCAAUCAAAAGAAGUCACAGCUGUUGGCCUGAUGCAGACUUCAUCCAUGUUGAUUAAUAGAGUGAAGGUAUUCCUUAAAGCACUAAGCUGGAUCAUGUUUUUUGUUUCUGGAAGCUCUUUAUGACCACAUGACAGAGACUCCGUGGAUGGACUCUAAACCUAGUUCAUGCCUUGCCUGGGAGCAUCUAUGGACCCUGUUAUGAGCACUUGACUCUGCCUACUGUGUCCAGACCCUACGGGAUCAUGUCCUGUUGGUGGGGUCACUGCCCGCACUGGGGUAGCCCUUGGCUUCCGCCUUGCCUGCCUUUAAGGAACAGAUGGACCUCACUGCUCCCUGAAAGAGGAAACUGACAAAUGACAUUAAGGACAUUUAGUACCUUAAGAAGCAGAAUAUUUGUACUUUGUUCACUUCCUGCCACACAGAGAGGAGGACUGGAAGGACUUUACUCUGAGCUUAAUAUUCAAAAAUGCUUAUAUUUUUCUAUCUUCUACACAUUUUUUUUCUCUAGAGUCUUAGGGAUUUUUUUACAGUUCUUCCUCCUUCUUUCCUUCCUUCCUUCACAGACGUAUAUUUCCUUCAGAACUCGCUAUAUCAUUCUUCCCUACUUGUCAGAAAGUUUGCACAAAUAAUUUAUUUGAAAAGAAAAAGAAAACUGUAUUUGAAUAGUUAAACAUGAAUAUGAGAGGUAGUAAAUUAUGUAUGUACCUAUAUCUAUGUGUGUGUAUCCAAGAAAUAUAUCCAGAGCCUAAGUAGUUAUGCUUGCUACAUUCACUUUGAAGAGAAGAAAUGUGUAUGGUCCCAGGUCACUGGCUCUACUGAGAUUUAAUGAUUAUUACUUUGAGAUCAGAUAUGCUUUGAGACAUACUCUCUCAAAUGGUAAAACAUUCAAAGACUGCUACAUUGACUUUGCAAGUGUGGUACAUAGCAGAUUUGUUAAGGCUUGUAUUUCAAAGAGCACAACGAAAACAAAGGCUGCACCAUGAAGAAACUGAAGAUGUGGAUGUGUAUGAGAGUAAAAAUUCUCCGGUACAAAAACAACAAAGUUUGGUAUCAAAGCUUGGCAUUUGUCAUACAAUCAUCGGAGGAAGCACAGUUCAGUUUUACUGUAGUUCCAGUUUAUCAAAUAACUGGAAACGAAUAAAGUUUGAAGUUUUGCAAGUGUCAGCCCUUAACAAAGUACAGGGAUCCUUCUGAGUUCAAAACAAGUAAAAGACUAUCAGCCAGGGACUGCCAGAUAAGGAAGGUAGCUUAAAAACUUAAAGAUAUAUUAAUCUAAUAUAUAAAACACAAAGUUGUCUAACAAACAUCUCACUGUUUUACAAUGUUUUAUUGUAAUAAUAAUUAUUUACAAAGUUUUACAAUGAUUCUUACAGAAACAACUUAUACUACAUUAUCUGAUAUGAUAGUGUUACCUGUUCUUUCCAUGGACCACGGCAGUCCUGAAAGCAAACCACUGUGAGAAAUCUCCCACAUGCAGUGUGUUAUCUGAUGUACUAAUGUAGAUUUUAUUUUAUGAUCCAGUUGUGGUCUGUGAAAGAAUAGCAGCAAAAGAGUAGUUAGCAAAAAAUGGCUCCUAGCCCUUCAGCAGUAAUGGAUGUAUUAAGUUCCUGAGGGUUAUUAUGAAGUCAAGAAUAGUUAGAAGUUGCCUAUCUUUCCUUAAUAUGGCAUUGCAUAUCCUACUACACUGUAUUCUGAGGCGAUGAUAUCCAAAGAACAUUUCACAAAACUAUCCUAUUAUGUUUAGGAAUAUAAAAACUAUUUUCUGGGUGCAGUUUCUAUGCGGUUCGUGGUUCUGCUAACCUUUAGUAUAAAGGUAUAAAGAGAUCAAAAAAAAACCCAAAAGAGGUCAAUUCAGACCUCAGUAAAUACAGGUGUAUGUGUCAGGGGAUAAUUUACGCAGAUGCACUGGUGAGAAUUAAUUUUCCCCCUAUUGGUAGCAGCUGGUAAUUACUUAUGAAAGAAGUAUGAUGUAUUCCUCCUUUACUUAAAACAGUAAGUUCAGAAAGAAGAGGAAGCAAUUCCUUUCUUCAUACAUAAGGUGGAUAUACCUUUAGGCAGUGAGAGCCACAGCACUUUUCAAAUCUCAUUCUAAGCAAAGAGUAACGACCUCUCAAAGGUAGUAAUGUUUGUAGUACAAGCUCAAAAGCAAGAACCAUGUCAUAUUUUGUCUUUUGCUUUCUAAGGGCUAAAAUAUUUUUGCUAACAAGCAUAUGUAUUCUUCAUUAAUUAAA